rnacentral:rRNA from 1 species
ACUCCUACGGGAGGCAGCAGUGGGAAUAUUGCACAAUGGGCGCAAGCCUGAUGCAGCAACGCCGUGUGAGUGAAGAAGGUUUUCGGAUCGUAAAACUCUGUCCUAAGGGAAGAAACAAAUGACGGUACCUUAGGAGGAAGCCCCGGCUAACUACGUGCCAGCAGCCGCGGUAAUACGUAGGGGGCAAGCGUUAUCCGGAAUCACUGGGCGUAAAGGGUGCGUAGGCGGCUUAGCAAGCCAGGGGUGAAAGGCAUUGGCUCAACCAAUGUAAGCCUUUGGAACUGUUAAGCUUGAGUGCAGGAGAGGUAAGUGGAAUUCCUAGUGUAGAGGUGAAAUUCGUAGAUAUUAGGAGGAACACCAGUGGCGAAGGCGACUUACUGGACUGUAACUGACGCUGAUGCACGAAAGCGUGGGUAGCGAACAGGAUUAGAUACCCUGUAGCACAGAG